AUUGAACGCUGGCGGCAGGCCUAACACAUGCAAGUCGAGCGAUCGGCGGACGGUUGUGUAUUUUCUGUGUAACUCCCUGAUCUCGCUGUAUAACUUCUCGAAACCGUAUCUAAUACCCCUUCCCAUCUCAUGUGCCCAGAUGGGCUUAGCUAGUAGGUGGGGUAACGGCUCACCUAGGCGAAGAUCCCUAGCUGGUCUGAGAGGAUGACCAGCCACACUGGAACUGAGACACGGUCCAGACUCCUACGGGAGGCAGGAGUGGGGAAUAUUGCACAAUGGGCGAAAGCCUGAUGCAGCCAUGCCGCGUGUGUGAAGAAGGCCUUCGGGUUGUAAAGCACUUUCAGCGGGGAGGCGGGAGGCGAAGAAGAAGCACCGGCUAACUCCGUGCCAGCAGCCGCGGUAAUUG
rnacentral:rRNA from 1 species